CACCACCCUUUCUUUUUCUCCCUUUUCUCUUGCGGCUGGAAGGAGGAAUGAAGGGAAGAGAGGUGUUGCCGAAAUGCCCAAGAAAAACAUAAAAAAUGCUGGCCGAAAUCACCUCUCCCUUUUGAAAUGCAAAGGGAUAAAGAUGAGCUCCUAUUUUUUAGGAGCUCAUCCUUAUCUCUAUUUCAUGCCACCUAGGAGGGGC
rnacentral:lncRNA from 1 species